rnacentral:lncRNA from 1 species
AAUGGCACAUAAGCACUAAAUGGUAGCAUUUUAUCAUUAUUUUAUUUAUAGUCUACACUAACUGUGUGCUCUUCCAUACAAAAGAUGCAUCUAAAAACUAACUUGUUUGAUAAAUGGGGGGAGGACAAGGUGCCUCUAAGAUAGGUGUGCUUAAAUCCAGAGCAGCCGUAGCUUUUAUCAAAUUCUCUUCCAACCUGAAAAAUCUAACGAUUCUAUGAAAUAACUUCAAUUUGUGAAAGCCCAAGCAAAAGAAAUUCAAAGUUAAAAAAAAAAAAAAAAGAAAAUGUGACUUUGACUCAGGUCAGUCAAGUAUUACCAGGAUAGAUAAAAGUAGAUUUUUAGCAAUACAGUUAACAAUGGGUCUUGCCACAAUAAUAGCAAACAUCCAGAUAUUGGAAAGGAAUCAGAUGGUAAAUUUAAAAAAGACUGUUUUCAAUCCUUAUAUUUGGCUUCACAUAGAUUCAGUGUAUUUUAAUUCAUUUUUUUUUAAAAAGCAUGGAUCAGUUAAGGAAAUAAUAUAAGUUCAUUCUGAUCUUUAGGAAGACAUUCUUCCCCCCAUAUUGUUCACUUUGACAAUUUCUCUUUUUUCUUAUUUGGCCAAAAUAUAACGUAUUCUCUAAACAAAACACAGAUGUUUCCUUUGCAGCUUUUAUACAAAUCUCUUGCUUUUCCAACAUGAUUUGGCAACUCAAAAUCCAAAGCACCCUAGAAAAUAUUAUGUUUACACGUCUUAUUAUUCAUCUUUGUGUCUCCAAUAUAGUUUCAAUUUGACUAUACCUUUCAGUGUAUAGGGAACCACUCAGCUUGAAUCUUUUAGGUUCAAAAAUUCCAUAAAUUUUAAAUGAGGCAAGUAAAAGGAGGUGGAGAAGCUCAUAACUCCAUUUCUUAUGGCUUUAACAAUAAAAGAACGUACCUGGUAUGUACUUAAAAAUGUACUAUGUGCCACAAAGCUCCCCCACUCAACAAUCUCCCUCCUGACACAGUCUACCCUCAAAAUAAAGUCAACUACUCCUCAUCUCUCUGCUUCCACUUCCUUCCAAUUCACAAAUACAUUGUUAAUUUCCUCUUUGCAUUUCAGAGAGCAGUUUAUCAGCACAGGAUAGUCUUUAACAAAAUUGUUGUGAGUGAAGAUAGGGUAAUUAAAAAAAAAAUCAUGUUAAGAACUGUUAAUAGUCAAGAGUUGUAACUUUUCAACCAGGAAGAGCUAUGGUUCUGAAUUUGCUACAACUGCUCCUUGAAGUGGACAAACAUAACUAGCCUUGGGAACACUCAGUUUAAGACCAUGACAAGCUAUUUCAAUGAAUUAUAUAAAGAAACAUAGUUGCUUUCACUGCCUCAAAUAACACCGCAGUAAUUCUGUGAUACACUUCAGAAGAGUUAGCACUGGAGGGAAAAGAGCCUGUGCGGCAGCCCUUGGUGACUACAUUUCCCUCCAGCGCAAUGCAGGUAGCAGGACAUCAGCGCUUUGAGAACUAGCAUAAGCUGCUGCAGAAUCAUCGACUGGCAACAAUGUGCCUUCCCAGAGAGCCUGGUCUUGGAGAAUCCAGGCUAUGAGGCUUGCAAAUGCUGCAUGAGUUUUAUGGCUACCAGGUUGGGAGCAAGGUUUUUUAACGGCUUCCUGAAUGUCAGAUGGCAACUGGUUUUUUCUUCAAACAAUGGCAUAUUCUUUAAGAAAAUCAAAUUAUCAAUGAAAUUUGCCAUGUGACCACAGGCAAGUUAACUAUUCUUGCAUUUUUCAGACUAGGUUUCCUUAUCUCUAAACUAGAGAAAAUGAUACCUACAUGUCACAGGGGAACUGGAAGGAUUAAAAGACAAAAUGUGUGUAAAGCUUCCAGCACAAUGUCUGGCACAAAACGGUUGCCCCAAAAAGUUCAAUACUCUUCCUUUCCCUGCUCCCCCUCCCAACAAAACAGGAAAAGGCAACAGCCAAGUAACUAAACAACUUCUUAAUAUUCCAAGUUUCUACCCAAUCAUCUCUUCUUCUUUUAAAACCACAGGCUUGAAAUCUUUACUGUUUACUGUCAACAACGGCAUAUACUGCUGUACAGUCAGAAUUUUAGAAUUUAGAAAUCAAAUAUAACCCCCUUAUUCAACAGAUGCUGCCGGGGGAGAUAAAAGGGCUUUCCUUUUAUCUGUAUCAUCUUGAUUUAGUAGCAGAACCUAAACUCGAAAAAUAAACGUGGAAUAACAGGAAUACUAUUUUUUAACAUGUUUUUCAAAAAUCAAACCUGAGCCUACAUAACCCAUUGUGCAAACAGUCCCUUUAGGAGAAAAACUGCAACUGUGAUUAAUUUCUCUCAAGAAUAUUUAUUUCCCAUUUGGAGAGUUUCACAUGUUUCCAAACAUAUUUUCUUGAUGUCCUCCAUGUCAUUGUGUAUUCUCUCCUUCCCUUAAUUUGUUUCUUUUCCAGUGUAUAAAUCUAUUGCUCUAUUAUAGAUUAUUAUAAUAUAAACUCAUAAAUUCAGGAAUUUAAAAAAAAUCUUUAAAAGCAUGCUUCUCAGAAAUCAUUACACUCUGUUAAACACUUGCUAUCUCUCAACUUCUAGAUAGAUUCCUCAAGAGAGAAGUCCUUUUUUCAUUCUGAACUUCUAAUUCUCAAAUUUUGAUUGUGUCCUGUUAGUUACCAAACACACCAUUAUACUACUACUCUCAUUUCAAUAUUGUACAUAAACGAUUCCCCAUCUUACUAAUGAAAUGCUUUUUUAAAGCAGUAACAUAUUUAACAUGUGCACAUGUUAUGAAGAGUAUAGGCAAACUCAACUAUUAAAAACAUGUAACUAUAAGGAAAGCCAUCUUAGACACUAUAUGUGACUACAGCUAAGCUUUUCUCUUAAGUAUCUAAAGCAAAUCACCAGACUUUUACAUAGUACCCUCACAUAGCUAGAUAAGAAAGUAAAAGUAAAAUAAUGAAAGCAGACUCUAAACAGCAGAAGCUCCAAACUCCUUAGUUUCUCUGUUGUGCUCAAUCCUUUAGCAAAUUACAGGCCUGAAAACAAGGAGUAGCUCUAUCACUUAACAAGUGACUAAGGAAUGACUUUGUUAAUUAGAAGUCCAAGGGUGAGAGGCUCCUUUCCACCAAAGCUCUGAAUAAACAUCAACAUCAGGUCAACCAGAGUUGUCUUGGUCCCAGGAGUAGCUUAAGCGGAUGACUCAAAUUCCCAGCAGAAUUCUAGUUUAAUAUUUAUUGGAACUCCGAGCUUAGUCACACAGUGACUUGGAAUUUAAGACACAUGGGGUCUCUUCUUUCCAUCCUUAAAGAUAUUUUUGCUAAGUGACACAAAGUUAAAGAGGCAAGAUGGGUUUUAAUUUAGAGUUUUUAUUCCCUGAGGUGUAAGAAAUUAAAAUUUUAUUUUCUGGGGAGAGUGAACCAUACUAGCUCUGAAUUUCAAACACAACUAUUAACCCUGUCAGAUAAUUCUAUUAUCAAGUUUUACAAAACUGUUUACUAUUAUUAUUUUUUUUUGCUACCCCAGCCCUAUGUAUUGAAAGUGGAAAGAAGGAAGGGAGGGAAGGAGGGAAGGAGAGAGGGAGAAUGGAUGAAUGGAUGUAUGUCACAAUCACCUUUCUAGCCAAAACUGCAACAUAUGCUGGAGUUCUUGAAAUUAUUUCAACCAAAAAAAGAAUCACAGGACUCAUAAUUUGUUUAGCAGGAACUAUGCCCAGGCAGAAAAAAAGUUACUGUAGGUGAUGAAGCCAGUGCUCCCUGAACCAAAUAAACCCUAUCGACGUUACCGAACUGCCGGGCAAAACCAGAGCAACUCACUUACUUGGAAGGUGAAAAACACUUCAACAUACUCCAGGCGGCAACCGACACUUAGGGGCCAGGCAGAUGAAACACCAUUUGUUUAAAAAGUCUAUUAUUUCACUGUCUCUUCAACAAAGGUGGAAAACUGAUGAUUAAACACUGAAUAAUGCCACCCACUUACUAAACCUAUGAUUCACUAAUAAGCAGGUUCAAUGCAAUUCAUAACUUUAAAGAAUGAAUUACCGAAGCCCCUUGCUUCACAAAUUCCCCCAAGAAACAGAAAGAGCAUUCAUCACAUAUAACCCGACAACCAUUUUUACUAUGGACACCUACAGAUGGCUUCUCUUCCUCUAAGGACACAAUUUCCUUCACAAUCCCACAUGUAAUCAUUUACAAUACCAGAAACAAACUCCAACUCAGUUCCACCAACUGGGUUUUUAAAAAUCCUUGUGCCUAAGAACGUCUUUUUUCCCCAAAGUAAAAUGUGCCAUUAAAAAAUAUUUUUAAAACGCA